rnacentral:sRNA from 1 species
CCUGGCUCUCUUGGGGUGCCACUGUUAAAUUAAGUUUUGAUAAAUUCCCUUUCUUUUUCUUAUUUCCUGUUAAGAUUUGAGUUAUAUUACUUAACUGGAUGUCUUCGGUAGCACUAGAAACUACUUCUGUCCCAUUUCGGCUGGGUUCCUCUAACUUUGUCUUUUUAUCAUGGGGUAUAGUUUCCUUUAUAUCCAACAAAGUAGGUUCUACUGAAGAAACUGAAGACAAGCUACUUAACUCAGAAUCAUACACUUCUUUACUCGAGGACUCGAUGGUUCUUUCUAUUAAGGAUGGUUGUAACCGUUUGGAGUCAGGUCAGUCCCUGGCUGUGGCUCAUCACUUGGGGCUUCAGUGACUUUUCCAUUCUCUUUGGCUGAUCAAAACAAGAAAACAUACCGGAAGACAUUUUUUACACUGGGCAGAAAGAAGCAAUACCAGUUAACAGAAAAGUUGUGAAGCCCAUUUGUAUUUCCCCAAAGAGCUGUUUAGAAAUACAAACUGACUUUCAUAUUAAGUUUUAAAAUGUUUAAACGGGAUUCAUUGCACAACACAGGUUCGAGGCUGACCUCGAACUUGAGAUUCUCCUGCUUCAGCCUCCCACUCUGUCGGAUUAUGGGUGUGUGUCGCCUUGGCCAGCCUUAAGAUCUAAUUAAGAACUAGAAAUAAAACUCCACAAAUUCUAAAACAGCAGAAAAAAAUCUUUAUAACAUCAUUUACCCUAAUUAAAACAAACCACUAGUAUUAUUAAUUCCUUCGACAGUAAUUAUAAUGACAGGCUCCUAAAUGGGUAUACACUUAUGUAAAAAAAGAUCCUUCCCGCCUUACCUCUCCUCAUCAAAUGCACUGAUAAAUACCACACACACACACACACACACACACACACACACACA